UACGUAGGUGGCAAGCGUUGUCCGGAAUUAUUGGGCGUAAAGCGCGCGCAGGCGGUCUCUUAAGUCUGAUGUGAAAGCCCACGGCUCAACCGUGGAGGGUCAUUGGAAACUGGGGGACUUGAGUACAGAAGAGAAGAGUGGAAAUCCACGUGUAGCGGUGAAAUGCGUAGAGAUGUGGAGGAACACCAGUGGCGAAGGCGACUCUUUGGUCUGUAACUGACGCUGAGGCGCGAAAGCGUGGGGAGCAAACAGG
rnacentral:rRNA from 1 species